rnacentral:misc_RNA from 1 species
AACGGUCUAUACCUGCGGUACCUGCGGAAGGAUCAUUAUCGAGUUUUGAACGGGUUGUAGCUGGCCUCUCACGAGGCAUGUGCACGCCUGGCUCAUCCACUCUUAACCUCUGUGCACUUUAUGUAAGAGAAAAAAAUGGUGGAAGCUUCCAGGAUCUCGCGAGAGGUCUUCGGUUGAACAAGCCGUUUUUCUUUCUUAUGUUUUACUACAAACGCUUCAGUUAUAGAAUGUCAACUGUGU